UACGGGGGGGGCAAGCGUUGUUCGGAAUUACUGGGCGUAAAGGGCUCGUAGGCGGCCAACUAAGUCAUACGUGAAAUCCCUCGGCUUAACCGGGGAACUGCGUCUGAUACUGGAUGGCUUGAGUUCGGGAGAGGGAUGCGGAAUUCCGAGUGUAGAGGUGAAAUUCGUAGAUAUUCGGAAGAACACCAGUGGCGAAGGCGACUCACUGGACAUGUAUUGACGCUGAGGUGCGAAAGCGUGGGGAGCAAACAGG
rnacentral:rRNA from 1 species